GUGCUCGCUUCGGCAGCACAUAUACUAAAAUUGGAACAAUAAAGUGAAGAUUAGCAUGGCCCCUGCACAAGGAUGACAUGCAAAUUCGUAAAGCGUUCCAUAUUUUU
rnacentral:snRNA from 1 species